rnacentral:lncRNA from 1 species
UGAUGUUUCGGCUCACAGCCCAUACGUGUUAUUCAUGACAACAACCCCCUAAGAAUUGGUAUAUUUUCCUACUCAGUUGUUCUUUCUGUUAUACAGCAGACUUUUCAUUAUUUGUAAAAUAUAAUUUAAAAUAUUGAUUAAAACUUUCUAGAACUAGUAAAAAGUUUUGAUUUCAUCUUUUAAAGGGUUUCAUUCCCCUUCUUGUUCUCUCUUUAUACAAUUUUUGUAAUGAGCACUAUAUUUUAUUUGAUAUAAGGAAAACAUAUUUUCCAAAACCAAUUAUAGAAUGAUAAAUCAAUGUUUAAAACUCAAAUGUGUUUCUAAUAGGUUGUAAUAUUAUAACGAACAUAAGAAAAUGUAAGGAAAAACAGAACGUAGGUAAGUUUUAUUUAGAGGCUAUUUAUUAUUUUAGUUGUAUAAGGAGGAUAAAUGGAUAAUGAUAUUUGCAUGUUCAACGGUUAGGGAUCGGUGUAAUGUAUACGGUCAAAUAUAAAAUGAGAUCAGCAUUAUAGAUUGAAUAUUUGAAACAUCAUUCUACACACUAUGCAGUAUAUUACUUUUGGUCAAUACGAAAAUGUGCGACUUACCCAUACAUCAACAUCAGAUAUGCGAGAAAUAUUAGAAAAUAUAAAUAGAUCAUACUAGUAUUUCAAACGGAAUUUUAUUAUUGAUAUUCUUGGAUAUUCGAACUUUUAUUCGGUCGAUCGAUAUAAAUGAUUAAUUAAAAAAACAUGUAUUACUUUUAUUUGAUUUUAUCAACGGCACAUAUAAAUUAGAAAUGAAACUUUUUGAUUGGUCACUAUUGGAUAUGGCCUUCUUUUUUCAGAUUCGGCCCAGGUUGAAAGUUUUGUCACAAAUGCUACGUCAGUGACUAAAGUCAACGAAACUCAGUCCGCAUAUACAUUCUUUAAACGAAAUGAAAGAGAAAAUAAAAUUUAUAAUAAGAUUAAUGUUUUGUAUAUCAGCAAUUUACAUUUACACAAUCAUAUCUUCAGCUCAUGAUACAAUUUUUUUUCUUCUAUAUAACAUGUUUUUUUUUUGGGUCACAAAUCACGAGUUUAAAUCUUACCUAUACAUGCAUGGAUAAUAAAGGAGAUCAUUAUCAAAUCCCACGACACAAGACAUGACUAUACGAAACUCAGUCCCCUCCACAGCCACCGGAACCUCCCUCACCGCCUCCACAACCUCCACCAUCAUCACCGCCUAUAGGCUUCCUAUAGGAGGAGACACAACAUAUGACGAUUGACGGGAAAAUAACAAAUCCACAUACUAUAAUAAUGACAACGUCAAAAGGAUUCAUUAUUUCUUCUUAAAUGUUAAAAAAAAAAAAACUGAAUUGAUACCCAAAUGAGGCGAGAAUAGUGUCCUUUUAUAUAGAAUGUUAUGACGUAAACCUGUUUAGUUUAUUAAAGGUACACGAAAUUUCAAAAGAAAUUUCAAUUUUCUAGUAAAAUUAAGACAUUUUCAAUAAAAAUUCAUAAGUUACUACAACUUGCUUUUGAGUAUUUCGCAUACUGCUCAUAAAGAAGAAUAUUC